GCCCACCUUGAUGGGUUAUACCACCAGAACGGUUGAAGAAGCUCAGCCAGUAGGAUAGCCCUCCCAGAUCUGGCCGGUUGCUUCCGCCUUCGUCCCCAAUUCGGGAAAGCCGACGAUGAUGAUAAGUCUGUGUAACGGGGUUUGGUUCCUAUAUCUCUCGCCGGUCCCCCUUUCGUGCUUUCUCUCUUCGUGUCGAGUUCUUGCUGCGCCUUGGCACUUUGCAGCGGUGGUCGACGAUGGGAUGGGGCGGGGCGCUGGACAUGGUGGUACUGUGGCUGACAGAAGAGAGUGAGCACGCAGCGGCACAGACUGCAUCUGAAUACGGCUGCUUCUUGCGAGAUGAAAGACGACGGGUGGAUGGAUGGAUGCCUAGACGCAGCUGCUGUUGCGUGCUCACUUCUCUCUCUGUCAGCUCUCUCUCCUCCUCGGGACUUGUUCCGCCGCAUCCAUCUCCCCCCUCCCACUUCCAUCAUCCAUCGCUGAUCGGUGCGCGCCGCUGCGUCGUCGUGCAGACGUUCUCGCAUCGGUCGCCGUGGCCGUGCCGGCUGUGGCGGUACUGUUCGUCUUGUUAGGCGCUGCCGGCCUUGCCGUGUCCCCACCUGCAAUCUUAUCUUGUCUCCUGCUCGGAUUCCUACGGCCUGCCCUUUGGAACAAGGUACUCUUAAAUUUCAGGCAGCCGCCCCGCGCAUGCACGCCAUGGAUCCUCGCGCCGGCCGCGUUUCUUUUCUCGGCGAGGUUGUCGUUGCUGUCUUUGUGGCUUCCGAUAAUGGAUUAUUAGCAGGGGCCUUCAGCCUUGGGGGAGGAGGACGCGUGAUGGUUUGAUUAACACCUGGCUUUGCUCGCCUCCCCAGGUGUGCUUAACGGAAAGCACUGUUUGACUAGUCCUUGCUACCCCUUCUCCCUCCUCCUCUCUCACUUAUGUACUCUUUCCUCUUCCUUUCCGUAAAGAUUUGACAGCAAAAACUGGAUCUUUUUGCCCUCUUGUUUUGCUCAUCUCAUGUGGUGCGCUGUGAGUGCUGGGAAGUAGGUGCCUAGGCAGGAGGCAGCCAUGAAGACGGUGGUCGGAGGCAGAUCUGCGAGGUGCAAGUGGAAAGGGAGGGGGGCACCUACCGCCGCCGCCGGCGACUACCAGAUCUGGAAAUGAUGUUUCUUCCCCGGCCGGUGCCAGGGCGCAAAAUGCCAUGACAUACGGAGAAACCUGGACAUUUGGAACACCCUGCCGCCACAAAUGUGUUUUUUGCUCCCAAGAGACAGAAUCAUAUUUCAUAUGCAGCGUCAUAAUGUUGCAUAGGAAGCCAUGCACGAAGACCAGGAGCUUUCAACUCACCUAUAUAUUCUGCUAUUACCAAUGAUGCGAACUGGAAGUAUUUUCUUUCCUUUUCUUUUCUUUUUUUCGUUUCAUUGUUGUCACAAUGUCACAGCUCUGGGAGAACAUAAUCAUAUUUUGUGGCUUGAAAUAUCCUGAAACUGCACCCCUGCAAGUUUCUCUUGAAGGAUCAGUGUGCUGCAUCAAGGAAUAAGUUUAUAUGUUGUUUUGAUAUAUGGAAACCUAGCUUUGGAUAAACGGUUCGCCUACCAUGAAAUUCCUGUGUAGGGUUCGUGUGCAGAAGUUUUAUUUAUUUUAAAUUCUGGGGGCCACCUCUGCUUACGUUUUCCUUUCAUUGUCUCGUCUGAUUGCCCCUACGACCUUAUCUAUUUUAUUUAACAUGACAUAAUUUACUGUCAUUUCAUGGCAUCGCAUACUGUCAUUUCUUGAUAUUCCACCAAGCUGCAGCCCACGGGCAGAAGUUACUUCUCAGUUCUCACUAUCGUGCCAGCGGCCUUGCGCUGCAGCGCUGGUCUCGCGCUGCGGUUGUAGAGAGUUAGGUCCUCAUGCCAAGGUGGGGGUGGAAGUGGAACAAGAAUCAUGGUGCGUUUCUUCUCGCCUCUCAGACUCAGGCGCUCGUCACUUCGUCGUCUCUCUGCAUGCAUCCCCUCCCGGCUCCCGUCCUGAAAAUGAUCUCAAAUAUUCUCCGUGUCAACCUCCCAUUAGGUACAUUAUCACUUACCUCACGAUUCGGCAGG